rnacentral:rRNA from 1 species
UACGUAGGGGGCAAGCGUUGUCCGGAAUCAUUGGGCGUAAAGAGCGCGUAGGCGGCCCUGUAAGUCCGCUGUGAAAGUCGGGGGCUCAACCCUCGAAUGCCGGUGGAUACUGUCGGGCUAGAGUGCGGAAGAGGCGAGUGGAAUUCCUGGUGUAGCGGUGAAAUGCGCAGAUAUCAGGAGGAACACCGAUUGCGAAGGCAGCUCGCUGGGACGUCACUGACGCUGAGACGCGAAAGCGUGGGGAGCAAACAGG